GACGAACGCUGGCGGCGUGCUUAACACAUGCAAGUCGAGCGGUAAGGCCCUUUCGGGGGUACACGAGCGGCGAACGGGUGAGUAACACGUGGGUGACCUGCCCUCAGCUCUGGGAUAAGCCUGGGAAACCGGGUCUAAUACUGGAUAUGACUCCAUGACGCAUGUUGUGGGGUGGAAAGCCUUGUGCGGCUGAGGAUGGGCCCGCGGCCUAUCAGCUUGUUGGUGGGGUGANGGCCUACCAAGGCGACGACGGUAGCCGGCCUGAGAGGGCGACCGGCCACACUGGGACUGAGACACGGCCCAGACUCCUACGGGAGGCAGCAGUGGGGAAUCUUGCGCAAUGGGCGAAAGCCUGACGCAGCGACGCCGCGUGAGGGAUGACGGCCUGGU
rnacentral:rRNA from 1 species